rnacentral:rRNA from 1 species
CAAACAGUUAAAGCAUUUUACUGCGUUUGAAUACUACAGCAUGGAAUAACAAAAUUGAACAAGUCAAAACUCUGUUCCUUUUUCUUAUUUUGGCUUAGUUACGAUUAAUAGGAGUAGCUUGGGGGCAUUUGUAUUCAGAUGUCAGAGGUGAAAUUCUUAGAUUUUCUGGAGACAAACAACUGCGAAAGCAUUUGCCUAA